ACCUGUUCAAUUGGGAGAGCAUGAGACUUCUAAUCUCAGGGUUGUGGGUUGAAGCCCCACCUUAGGCA